rnacentral:rRNA from 1 species
AAAUCCGGGAGGUCAAUUCUGAGGCGUGAUAACGAGGUACUUCGGUACUGAAGUGAUUGAUACCAAGCUUCCAAGAAAAGCCACUAAGCUUCAGUUAUAUUAAAACCGUACCGCAAACCGACACAGGUGGGCAGGAUGAGAAUUCUAAGGCGCUUGAGAGAACCCGGGAGAAGGAACUCGGCAAAUUAGCACCGUAACUUCGGGAGAAGGUGCGCCCUGGUAGUGUGUAUAGACUUGCUCUAGAAGCACGAAAGGGUUGCAGUGAAAAGGUGGCUGCGACUGUUUAAUAAAAACACAGCACUCUGCAAACACGAAAGUGGACGUAUAGGGUGUGACGCCUGCCCGGUGCUGGAAGAUUAAAUGAUGGGGUGCAAGCUCUUGAUUGAAGUCCCAGUAAACGGCGGCCGUAACAAUAACGGUCCUAAGGUAGCGAAAUUCCUUGUCGGGUAAGUUCCGACCCGCACGAAUGGCGUAACGAUGGCCACACUGUCUCCUCUCGGGACUCAGCGAAGUUGAAAUGUUUGUGAAGAUGCAAUCUACCCGCGGCUAGACGGAAAGACCCCAUGAACCUUUACUGUAGCUUUACAUUGGACUUUGACAAGAUUUGUGUAGAUAGGUGGGAGACUAUGAAGCGGCGUCGCUAGAUGUCGUGGAGUCAACCUUGAAAUACCACCCUGAUGUUGUUGAGGUUCUAACCUAGGUCCAUAAUCUGGACUGGGGACCGUGUAUGGUGGGCAGUUUGACUGGGGCGGUCUCCUCCCAAAGAGUAACGGAGGAGUGCGAAGGUAACCUAGGUACGGUCGGAAAUCGUACUGAUAGUGCAAUGGCAUAAGGUUGCUUGACUGCGAGACGGACAGGUCGAGCAGGUGCGAAAGCAGGUCAUAGUGAUCCGGUGGUUCUGUAUGGAAGGGCCAUCGCUCAACGGAUAAAAGGUACUCUGGGGAUAACAGGCUGAUUCCUCCCAAGAGUUCAUAUCGACGGGGGAGUUUGGCACCUCGAUGUCGGCUCAUCACAUCCUGGGGCUGUAGCCGGUCCCAAGGGUAUGGCUGUUCGCCAUUUAAAGUGGUACGUGAGCUGGGUUUAAAACGUCGUGAGACAGUUUGGUCCCUAUCUGCCGUGGGCGCUGGAAAUUUGAAGGGACCUGCUCCUAGUACGAGAGGACCGGAGUGGACGCACCGCUGGUGGACCAGUUAUCAUGCCAAUGGUAUAGCUGGGUAGCUAAGUGCGGAAGAGAUAAACGCUGAAAGCAUCUAAGCGUGAAACUCGCCUUGAGAUGAGAUUUCCCUGGGGGUUUAACCCCCCUAAAGAGUCGUUCGAGACCAGGACGUUGAUAGGACGGAUGUGGAAGUGCAGUAAUGCAUUAAGCUGACCGUUACUAAUUGCUCGUGAGGCUUGAUCCU